UACGAAGGGGGCUAGCGUUGCUCGGAAUUACUGGGCGUAAAGCGCACGUAGGCGGAUUGUUAAGUCGGGGGUGAAAUCCUGGAGCUCAACUCCAGAACUGCCCUUGAUACUGGCGGUCUCGAGUCCGGGAGAGGUGAGUGGAACUGCGAGUGUAGAGGUGAAAUUCGUAGAUAUUCGCAAGAACACCAGUGGCGAAGGCGGCUCACUGGCCCGGUACUGACGCUGAGGUGCGAAAGCGUGGGGAGCAAACAGG
rnacentral:rRNA from 1 species